rnacentral:tRNA from 1 species
GAAAGGUGGCCGAGUGGUUUAAGGCUCCAGUCUUGAAAACUGGCGAGGGUGCAAGCCCUCCGUGGGUUCGAAUCCCACCCUUUCC